UGGCUGAAACGGUGAUAUAAAGUGAUUGCGUUCUAAUAUUUGCGACAAAUGGAAAAGACAAACGCAUGCCGGCUGACGAAGUUGCACAUCCGCGUACUCGACCAAGAGCGCAUUUGCUCAUUCUGCAGCACUGAAUCUCAUGUGGAACCCUUCAAUCACAGGUUAACCGUAAAUUUUGUAGUGACGCAUUACCAACGAGGUUAGACUAUUGCAGCAAUUUUUCACUGCAGCGGUAGUAUACAUUUGUAUACCCUCCGUGGGUGGAUGAAUACAGGGUAAUUAUUUUUACAGAAUGUGCUAAACGAUGUGAAUCAACCCCCGCUUGGCGGAAGUUUUGACUUAGAUAAAAAAAAACAGAAUUUUUCGCCAAACUUGCGCAGUUUUCCAGCCAAAAUGUGCGCCAAUGUUACGAGGGAAGCGAAAAUCAGAAGCUGCACAGGACACGAGCUAUUCUGUUCCUAUUGGUAUCCAAACAAAGAGCAGCUUCCUAGAGCUAUGGUAUUCAUUAGCCAUGGAUUUGGGGAGUACAGACCUGUAUUUGGUGACCUAUGACCGGCUAGUCAAGCGGCUUCUGGACGCUAAUUUUCUUGCGUUUGGACACGACCAUGUCGGUUUUGGAAGAAGUGGAGGAGAACGAGCACAAAUCGACAACGUGAGCCAGACGUCGAAUGCCAUGCAGCUUCCGUGAAAGCCAAAUUGAAGGACAUUCCUAUCGUUGGCCAUUCCAUGGGUGGAGUGAUAGCAGUCGGCACAGCGAUUCAGAAUCCCAGAAUCCGAAUCUCUUUGACGGUGUAAUACUCUUAAGUCCCGGUUUGGCCGUAGCCAGCAGAUUUAACACACCGGCAAUGAGGUUUCUGGGGAGAACGUUGACACGGAUUGCACCAGGAGCGGGCCUGAUUUAAUUGGAAGCCGAAGCGAUCACGGCCGACACGUCUAUAGUACGAAAAAUGUGUCCGGUUGGGGACAGUUUCUGGAAACAGUAGCAUUAACCGUGAGUGUCGAUGCGCUUCGUCUGUCGUUAACGCCGAUUUUGCGACAGCAGAACAGUAAGUACUCCUUGUAAGCCCGAAAACACGUUAGAAAGCUUUGCGAUGCAUUGUUAAAGAUGUAGUUAGUUUGUUCUUCUAAUGGGUUUGUGUGAUGUAUGCGGCUCAAAGCCAUGAAGUGCAAAAGAUGCGUUUCGGAUGUGCAGCUCCAGUCAACGCAACUCACGACUUCCGCUGGUCAUGAGCAAGCCAGCCACACGCCCAUAACGUCAUGAAUUCCCAUUCUCAUACUGGAUCAGGCUACCAAUAAAAGGGACUAAAAUAUUUCAGGUGUUUGCAGGAAGUGAUUUGUAGGGUAUCGAAUUGCAGUAACUCGGAUACAUCCAUACAAGAGCAUAUAAACAGGCUAACACCGUUAAAGUCCUGCUAAGAUUGGCAGUGUAAAAGUGAUACAUAUUUAACGUCUUCGGUCAUCAGAUUCCACUAACGUAGUAUCACUUAGCAUAUUUUAAUUUGAAGGUGUUACGAUUUUCGAUAUGACUCCGAGCGCUAGUAAUAAAACGCUGCCAUGUUUGUGACCUUACCGGUAAACAAAUAUUGUAAUGAUGUAAACAUUAGUAAGCUUGCUUAAACUAAACUUAAAAGCGAUAAACUUAAAAGCGAUUUAAAUACAAGUAUCCAUAAUAUUAUAUAAGCUACAUCCUUCUGUAGUCAGCAAACUCUAUGUACAUUGCGAUCGCGGUUUUAUUUGGCGGCUACGUGACUGACAAUUCCAGUACGUACUGAUCCUCGGUAUUAUCUUGCCAAAGCCGUUAACGUUAGAUCCUUAACGCGAAUCCACGCAGCGCUAUGGACGAGGACAGACCGCAUUACGCUUCCGGAUCUGCACCUCCUUUGGAAUGUUUGGCAGGAGCAUACUACCCACCCAAAACAUCGUUUGUCCCGUCCGUUAUCAGCGGCAACGUUGACGCGUACGAGAGCGAUGACGUACCAAGAUAUCACUAUCAACCGGCACCCGCAACAAAAAAGGAAGUGUCUACAGCUCAAAAGAGCGGCUUUACUCAUGAGCUAAAAUUGCAUUUGAUCCGACUGCCAUUUCUGCUGUAGUCAUUACCACCGUAAAAACUAAUUCACUGACGUGUUUUCCCUCUUUUGUUACAGUUGAUUCUGAACCACUGACUAAUUAGUUAUACUUUAUGCGUUUUCUAAUCGAAAAACAAUUAAAUAUCCUUAUUUGACAAUGCGAAGGGGCAGUAAACCGUUUUUGCAUGCAUGAAGUACGUAACAAAUUUCGACAAGUUUCUGUACUGUACUAUGAAUCCCACUGUUUGAAGUAUUACGUAUUACGUAUAGUUUUGCGAUGCGAGUCAGGGCAUGUUUAAGUAAACAAAUCUAAAAUACAUU